UGGGGAAUCUUGCACAAUGGGGGAAACCCUGAUGCAGCGACGCCGCGUGAGCGAUGAAGGCUUUCGAAUCGUAAAGCUCUGUCCUAUGGGAAGAUAAUGACGGUACCAUGGGAGGAAGCCCCGGCUAACUACGUGCCAGCAGCCGCGGUAAUACGUAGGGGGCGAGCGUUGUCCGGAAUUACUGGGCGUAAAGGGUUCGCAGGCGGCAUGGCAAGUCCGAUGUAAAAGGCGAAGGCUCAACCUUCGUAAGCAUCGGAAACUGUCAAGCUUGAGUGAAGGAGAGGCAAGUGGAAUUCCUAGUGUAGCGGUGGAAUGCGUAGAUAUUAGGAGGAAUACCGGUGGCGAAGGCGACUUGCUGGACUUCAACUGACGCUGAGGAACGAAAGCGUGGGUAGCAAACAGG
rnacentral:rRNA from 1 species